AAGGAAGAACAAGGUUAAACUGACACGUCCACAGAAGGUCUCCUCUUUGACUGAUUCCGCAGGUGCAGCUAUAAGUGGUGAUGCCUCCAGGGGGGUAAGAGCAGCGCUUCUGGUACUAGACACAGUCACUGGUGUCACUUUAUAGAUCGGCCUCCUCUUGCGGGGCCUACAGCGAGGAGCGGGGCCUGGACCAAGACGAGUGUGUGAGUGUUUGUGUUCAUCCACUGACCUUUUUGAGUCUGCAUUAGCCUCCUCAUGGCACGCAGUUCCUGCAAAAUAGCCUGCAAGGUGCCCUUACAGUUAC